GUGGUAGCUCCGAUUUCCAAUCGAUGUAUAAUGUGGCCUCUUCAUUUUCAACUGGGAAGGACCUGCAUGGACUUGAGAAUACAGAGCCAAUCGUUUUUUUUGUGGGUGUCUCAGAGAUCCCACCUUUGGAACAGUUGUCAGGGGCCUCAAGGCUGUGCCGUGCCUCUUGGUCCCAUCCCUCUAGCAACUAGCGUUACCGCGCCAGAAGAGGUAAACCUUUUUUUUUUGUGGGUGUCUCCGAGAUCCCACCUUUGGAACAGUUGUCAGGACCCUCAAGUUGGUGCCGUGCGUCUUGGUCCCAUCUCUCUAGCACCUAGCGUUACCGCGCAAGAAGAGAGAAACCUUGUACAUUUCGAACAGUUUAUCUCCUUCCGGGAAUAAUCCACUGACUCCAAACUGAGCCUGGCUUGUUUGUGAUGUCCCGUUGUUCAAC